UACGUAGGGUCCAAGCGUUUGUCCGGAUUCAUUGGGCGUAAAGAGCUCGUAGGCGGUUUGGAAAGUCGGAAGUUAAAUCCCCAGGCUCAACCUGGAUUCGCUUCCGAUACUUCUAUGACUUGAGUCGUGGGUAGGGAUCACGGGAAUUCCUGGUGUAGCGGUGAAAUGCGCAGAAUAUCAGGAGGAACACCGAUGGCGAAGGCAGUGAUCUGGGCCAGUACUGGACGCUGAGGAGCGAAAGCGUGGGGAGCGAACAG
rnacentral:rRNA from 1 species